UCUGUCCGAACUCCGAAGAGCACGUGGGAAUAGCAAGCGUCUUCAAUUACGUAGAGCAUUGGUAACCGUGAAGUUUAAAAUACGUUUUAUUCUCUACGUUUGCUGUGGACUGUUGGAAGUUUCUGCGUUUCUUUCAUUUGGUUCUGUUUAUCGUAGCAGCAGAUCUUCCCUCACUAGUAAACCAUGGAAGCUGUCAACGAGAGAGUUUUAAUCGGAGGUGCGCGAUUGAAACUACCGAGAAGGGCUGUCCUGUCUGCGGUGCGGAGGAUAGCCGUACCAUAUCGCUCCCAGCAGGAGCACUGCCUAAGUCCUUAGAGUCAAAAAUUAGAUGUCAGAGGAAACGUGAAAUUUAUGGCCAGUUGUCCGUGGACUCUCGUGCGUAAGUAUAAGGGAGGGCUGUCGAAAGAGGAAUACAGGGCUAAACUACAGGCAAUUAGGCGAGAAGAGCUUAUGAAGAUCAAACAACAAAUCGAUGAAGAAUUGCGCGCAGCCUUGGAAAGAAGGAAGCGACCACUCGCAGCGCGAAUGUUUAGAACAAGGCACAUUAAAACCUGAACUGCAAAUUGGAGGUUGUGUUUGUCACGAAAUGGAGAAUCUGAAACAAACAUGGCGGAAGUUUGAAAACGACGUUACAUUGGCAAACACCGAAAGUGUCGAAAACGUAAGGAAGUGUUUAGAAGAGCAGUAAUUUCAUGAGUUUUUCUUCUAUAAGCUGCUCUCAAAUUCAACCGAGUUGUUGGUUCUUUAGUGACUGGCAGUUUUAUGCCCGGACUGAUGGUGUUGUGUGAAACUUCAAAUGUGAACAUUCUGAAAAAAUUAAUUCAACUUCGUCUUUAGUGUUUUAAUGCUCGAAUUAUAACAGUAUUGUUCUCAUUGUGUAUUUAUUUGGCCUCCACCAACUAUCCAUGUGGCUAGCUAAUUAGUCAUAGUUGAAUCCGAGAAUCAGUUUACUGUAAUGUAAUAGAAUCCUAAACUGCUUUCAUCGUAUAUUGUAAUAAUUUUGAUUUAGCACGUAUCAAACUUUUUGCCUCUAGGAAGUAUACCAUGUUCGAAAUGCUUGUUGCGCAAAGAUCUGACGUUAAGGCCAAGGUCUAAGUUUUUUUUUUUUUUUUUUUUUUUAAAUUGAAUAAUUACUUCAUGUUCCCGAGAGGAAAUCAACAAUAUUCUUUGUAUUAGCAAAUUCUGAUACUCAAAACAUGACUUUUAUAGCUGUGGUAUAUUUGUGUGACAUUAAGUUCGGUUUAGAUAUAUAGCUAAAAAUGGACCAAUUGAAAUGUUGCGUACGAUUCGUUGGUAUUAACUGGUGACGUACUGCUAACGGAUCUGUCACCCGUUUUGUUAGUUGGUGAAGCAAACGAAUGUGGAAAAAAAAGUGGGGGGGGGGGGGGAGGAGAGGAGAGGAAAAGUAGUUUUGGUGAUACAUUGAUUGAUCUGUACCUUAGCACGAGUUUGAUUGUCAGUUGGUGAAGCCAACAAAAGUUACAAUUUUUUUAAAAAAAAUUCAGUGUGUUGACAGUGAUUUGUAGAGAGGUCUAGGCUUGAAUAGGUAACAGUUCCGCCAAUAGCCGUUACAGUCACCAUUGUUGACUACGGCGUUCUGUCACUAGUUUCCUAUGACACUAGCCAAAGCCAAUGAAAGUUUGUGUUAUGUGUAAAUAAAUUCAGCAGAUUGUUCGUAUAUAGUCAUCAUAAAUACUGGAUGGUUCAACAAAGUUACACAUUUUCCCUAGGUAGAUUUUUGUAGAUAACUUUGCAUUGCAGCAGUUCACGUGAUCUUUUCUGAAAGAUCCACUGUUGACUUAAAAAGUGGCGUCAAAGGAAAGUAAAAGAAAUUGGGACUGUAGGAAAAGUUCUGUGUAGAUGCAGAUUUUUUAAAAUAAGGUGGGAUGAAAUUUUUGUCAGUACAAACUCGUAUAUUAUGGUUUACUAACAUGGUAGACUACUACAUGUAAUGCCAAACAGAAUCAUAGUUUUCUACAAUCGCAUUUCUUCUGUAUAUCAGCAAAGAAACGUGAUAGCAAUGCAAGAAUUUACUUGCAGGUAGGUUUGCAGUAUUCAAACUACUGUAGAACACAGUGGCAUUAUUUAUUUUCAUACUUUGUAUUAAAACUCUCUGCCUCAUUAUUAGCAACCUUCUUGGACAGAUUUUUCAAAUCAUUGUUUGAAAUUGUGCAGGACAAGUCUAUGUAUGGGCCACUUACAACAUUGCUACGUAUACUGAAUU